GGUGUAGCUCAGUAGUAGAGCGCUUGCCUAACACGAGCAAAGCCUUGGGUUCAAUCCCCAACACC
rnacentral:tRNA from 1 species